rnacentral:tRNA from 1 species
GCCUUCGUGGUGUAACGAUUGCACUCUCGACGCGUAUUCGAGAGGUCCAGGGUUCGAGUCCCGGCGAAGGCA